rnacentral:rRNA from 1 species
GCGCGCGGGGAGGGGGUCGCGGCCUAUCAGCUGGUUGGCGGGGUAACGGCCCACCAAGGCGACGACGGGUAGCUGGUCUGAGAGGAUGGCCAGCCACAUUGGGACUGAGAGACGGCCCAG